UGAGAAAAGCCAAAUAUUAUAAACAAUUUAUAUCAACAAGCGGACAAUCCUGAAAGAAACAAUAAGGAUGAAAGGUUUUAAAGAAAGUUACCAAGUGUAUUAGCAUUAUUACCAACCUUGGUCAAUGAAAACAAUCAAUAACAAAAUGCUCUUUCUCUCUCUCUCUCUCUUACUAAAUAUUUAA